AUGGUGGGGAGGGGAGAUGCUGUCUAGUUUGGGAGGCCUCCCAUCAUUGCAAUGGCCCAUGCCCACCUGUGUUGUCUCGCUCCCUGGAGGGCAGCGGAGCUGCCGGGAGAGGGAUGCCUGGAGUUUGCCUUUCACUUGCCUGGAAAGCCACUGUACCUCCUCGUGGAACAAGUGACCCUAUUCCUGAUACACUGAGAUCUCUCUGCUUCGGCCCAGCCUGCCACACCGAUCCAGGAAGCAGGGUCUGAGCUGCAUCCACCUCUCGAGGCACGCGAGCUGUAGGCCCCCGGCUGGCGGUUCCGUGGCGGGAGACAGCGUUCUGGGAUGAACGGCAGCCCCGUGCUCCAAAGAGCGACCCAGCCCAGUGACCCGUGUGCAGGAAUCCCAGCUGAGUCAUCCACUCCCGGCCAGGGCUGGAGCCGGCCGGAUUCCACUGGGGCUCUAAACCUUGCAGCUCGUAAACAGCACUUCUCCAGCCACACAGCUGCUGUGUCGCGCUGGGUCCCGUGCAGAGGAGGGCUGGGAAGCCCCCGUUAAUUGCAUCAAGCGACACCUCCGGGAAUCAGGCCCUACAGCUCUCAAGCUGGGCACCCACAAUCAGUAGCCACUUCUGAAAACCUUAGCCCCAGCGAAUGCCCCCUACAAGCCUAUCGACCACCGGGCUGGGAGUCAGGAGAACUGAGUUCAAUGCCCCGCCACCGACUCAGCGUGUGACCUUAGAGAGGAGACUUGGCCAGGCUGGAAAAAACCCAACCCAAAGUCGAAACAGAUGCUUGCCAGGGGCAUGGCUCGUUCCUGUGCAGGAACAAAGGCCGUGCCACAGUGCAUUCUUCACCUGCUAGCCCGGAGGGGCCCCUCCAAGCCCACCGGGGCUGUCUGGGGCGCAUGAGGAUAUGUCUGCAGCAGGGGCAGUGUUGAUGUUUUUAGCCCUAUUCAUAAGAGAAAUCUGGGCAGCCAGAUUCCAAGCCCGGAUGUGUGUUCACUUAAGGAAGAAAGCUCCUUUAAAGGAACACGGGACACUGUUCUACCCUGGAAGACCAAUGUCCCAGGCACUCAGCUGAUCAAGCUAAUCUGUCUGGAAGUCCUUUAUUCACCGUGUAAACAUCUGCUCAUGUGGGAAGCGGUGUGGCUUAGUGGCUAGCCCCACUCAGCCCCAGCCCUGCAGUAGGAUGUUGGGCAAGUUACUCUUUGGGGCAUGGACUAUGUCGCCGUCUGUGUCAGGGAUCUCUGUCAGUGCUAUUGUAUUCCAAACAAAGGCACCCGUCAUGGAAGCCAUUGCUCACCCAUGGGAAGGAGAGGUUUACCAGUCUGUCCUGCCUCUGCCACACUGCCGUGUGGGCCAGGCUUUCAAACACCGGCUUCUCUUCACAAAGAGAGUGUUCUGGGGGAGUUUUGCACCCCCUGUUAUUUGCAAGGGCAUGUUAGGUAUAAGCAGAUGGUUGCACCUGCAUGUGUUUGGUGGGUGCAAAACCAGAGGCUUGGUUAAUGCUGGAAUUAAAUCUGACUCUAGCCAUGUAGCUGAUCAUCUCGGCUCCUGGAAAUACUUUGUGCUGAGCAAGCUUAGAGACAGGGCUUCCCUGCACCUGCCCAGAGCUGUGGGCGUGGCCUGACUGCCGUGGGUCUGCUCGCACAACAGGCACAAACAGGCGCACACCCAGGCACUUAAUAGAGACUCACGUGUGGACUCAAAGACCCACAAAUGCAUCAUCACACACACAGGCACUUUGUACACACACACGGACACACACACAUGCACUUGCAGAGACUUGUGUACACACGUUCACACACACCUUCUGGCUCAGCCUGCACCAGCCAGACUGAGGCCUGUGCAAAGCCUCUAGGAAUUUGCUUUUCUGUCCUGCUCUUUGAGCCAGUGUUAUGUGCCGUUGUUGUUUUAAGCGCAUCUGUGCUCCAAUCUCAGCUAUGGGCCCAGAAGUUUCUCAGUAAAAAGUAGAAACUGA